CAGUUGAUAAUAUGAAGCGUCCAUUCGAGACGAAUCGGUUGUUGCAGCGAAGUCAGACCCAAGGAGAUUGUUCUCUUUCAAUAAGUCACUUUUUGGUACUGUUUAGGACUGCGUAUAUACUUCUUUUCUUACGUAGCACACAACACGCAGCAUCCUUAUCUGAUCAAUAAUAACAUACAACAACAUAUUCAUUUCACUGAUUUGAAUUGAAUUUAUUUUCCAUUAUGGUUGCUGUCACUUAUUUGGACCUUGCCUUUUAUGUUUUUUUCUUCUUAUUGGGCGUACUAAUCUUCACUGUCAUAAGUCGAAAUCGAUAGAACUGCCUCAUCACAGCAACCGAUGUCAAAAAAAAAGAAAAAAAUGUUUUCACCGGCACAGUUUUGGGCGAGAGAUACGGCGAUAAGGCAGGAGUGAAGAAGUGUGCGUAUACAUGGUGAGUAGACGGGAAAAUACACAAAAUUCAUCUCGCCGCAUCGCCUACAAUUUCCAGUGAACGACAAGACAUUCCGUCAUAAUAUAUUAGAAUAUUAGAAACAAUGGCCAUGUACAAAAUAGUAAAAGUUGGGUAAAAAAAAAA
rnacentral:lncRNA from 1 species